AUUGAACGCUGGCGGCAUGCCUUACACAUGCAAGUCGAACGGUAACAGGUCUUCGGAUGCUGACGAGUGGCGAACGGGUGAGUAAUACAUCGGAACGUGCCCGAGAGUGGGGGAUAACGAGACGAAAGCUUCGCUAAUACCGCAUACGAUCUCAGGAAGAAAGCAGGGGACCGCAAGGCCUUGAGCUCACGGAACCGCCGAUGGCAGAUUAGGUAGUUGUUGGGAUAAAAGCUUACCAAGCCGACGAUCUGUAGCUGGUCUGAGAGGACGACCAGCCACACUGGGACUGAGACACGGCCCAGAGUACUACGGGAGGCAGCAGUGGGGAAUUUUGGACAAUGGGCGCAAGCCUGAUCCAGCCAUUCCGCGUGCAGGAUGAAGGCCUUCGGGUUGUAAACUGCUUUUGUACGGAACGAAAAGACUCUGGUUAAUACCUGGGGUCCAUGACGGUACCGUAAGAAUAAGCACCGGCUAACUACGUGCCAGCCGCCGCGGUAAGAC
rnacentral:rRNA from 1 species